AAACAGUGGAGGCGGCAAAGUCAACAGAAAAGAGUCUGCUUUAGUGGCGGCCUUUUCUUUAGUAUUUUUUUUUUCUCUCUCUCUCUUUCUUCUCUCUGGCUGCAAAGGCUCUUCAUCAAGGACGGUUAAACCAAUCGAUCACCAUAACUGUUCUUUGAUUCCUUUCUAUCUCGCCUAAACCCUUUCUUUAUAUAUCAAAAUUUACAAUAAUAAUAAGUUUUUCAAUUCUUCUUUUUUCAUUUCUCUAUUACCAUUACUUUAUUCAAUUGCUUGCGCCAACUAAUAAGAAGCUUGAGGAAGAGAGCAACAAUAACACCUUCGACCAAGCAACAACUAUAAGCCAAGAUUGUAGGUGGAUUGUGGAAUUUAAUUGAACAAGUUGGAGGUGGUUUCGCAGUUUUGAUCCCAUGAAUAAGUUGUGCUGUUUUGGUGGUUCCCAGGCUGUUAAAAAUGUUACUGAAGUACGAAGCUAGGGAAGUUCUGCAAAAUUCUGUUCCUUUUGGGGUUCAAUUGUGGGAUUCUAGUGGAUGGAGGUUAGUUUACCUACUUGGGGAUUGAGGUAAUCAUCAUAUCGAGAGUUGGGUGUGACGGAAUGAGUAAUGCUCUGGUGAUCUUAUCUUGCUUCUUAGACUUGGGUUAUUUGAUGUAUUUUAGUGCUUUGGAGUGUUUACCUUUAUGGUGAGUUAUCCUACGCCUCGAAAAUUAAAACUGCCCGCUAAAUUGCAGGGUGUAAGUGAUUUCAUGCUGUUAUACAUAAACUGUUUUUGAAGGUUAUUUGUACUCAGAGGUUUGCAUUAUUAAAUUGUUCUAUCCAACCACUUCUCAAAAACUCAAAAAGAAAAUAUGGUUGCUAGUUUCCUUACCUUCUUUCAUUAUCCAUCCAGUAACUUAUAUGGUUCAUUUGCAUGGAAGUUGGAACUAUAUGGAUCUAUCAUUUCUCUUUACAAUCCACUGCUACUGCCUCCUCUUAGCAGUUAUGGACUUGGAACUCAUUGCUGCUUAUUCUCAUAUCCCUAUGUCUCUGGGCUGUGUCAAACAUAAUUGAGAUUGUUUUCCAUAUAGCAUGUAGGAGGACGUUCAUCAUCAAGCUCUGGUAAGGGAAAAAGCCAUGAGGGUUCAGUCAACUAUGGUUUCAGCCUAAUAAAAGGGAAAGCUAAUCAUCCCAUGGAGGAUUAUCACGUUGCUAAGUUUGUGCAGAUUCAAGGACAUGAAUUAGGGCUUUUUGCUAUCUAUGAUGGCCAUAUGGGAGAAGGUGUGCCUGCAUACUUACAGAAGCAUUUGUUUUCCAAUAUCCUGAAGGAGGAGGAGUUCUGGGUAGACCCCAACAGAUCUAUCUCAAAAGCCUAUGAGAGGACUGACCAGGCAAUUCUCUCUCAUGGUUCAGACUUGGGCCGAGGUGGGUCCACAGCUGUAACUGCAAUUUUGAUUAAUGGUCGAAGAUUAUGGGUUGCUAACGUUGGGGAUUCUAGAGCUGUAGUUUCAAGAGCGGGUCAGGCAAUUCAAAUGAGUACAGAUCAUGAACCUAACAAUGAACGAGGAAGCAUAGAGGACAGGGGUGGCUUUGUCUCAAACAUGCCAGGAGAUGUCCCUAGAGUUAAUGGGCAGCUGGCAGUUUCUCGUGCUUUUGGAGACAGGAACCUUAAAUCACAUCUGCGAUCAGACCCUGACAUACAAGACACUAUCAUAGAUAAUAGUGUAGAUGUCUUAAUCCUUGCAAGCGACGGCCUUUGGAAGGUGGUGUCUAAUCAAGAGGCUGUUGAUAUGGCAAGAAGGAUUAAAGACCCACUGAGAGCAGCUAAGCAAUUAACAGCAGAGGCAUUGAAAAGAGACUGUAAAGAUGAUAUAUCUUGUGUUGUUGUUAGGUUCAGGGUGUAAAGCUCAUUGAAGCUAUCGUUCUCCUGGUGCUGCAUGUAUACCUAUUAUGAAAGUUCCUUUACAUGGGUUGCUGAUUUGUAGAUUAAACGACAAAUACAUAUACUUGGUUGGGAUAACCAUGAGGAUUUGCAGUAGUUGUGAUUUGCCAAAGGGAAGGACAAAAGGGUCCCCAGCCUCUGUAAAUU
rnacentral:misc_RNA from 1 species